UGCCGGAUCCGGCCUCCAUGGUGCAGCUGCUGGCCCUGGUGUGGCGGAGGCUGCUGCGCAAGCGCUGGGUGCUGGGGGUCGUCUUCGGGCUCUCGCUCAUCUAUUUCCUCAGCAGCACCUUCAAGCAGGAAGAGAGAGCAGUGCAGGAUCGGAACGUCCCCAAAGCGCCCGACGAAGACCACCCCAUUGCGUGGAAAGUGCAGUUCAACGCCGCGAACGGCAGCCGGCCGAGUAACCAGUGCCGGAAUUCGGUCCAGGGGAAGCUGUUGAUCACAGAUGAGCUGGGUUACAUCUGUGAAAGGAAGGACUUGCUGGUGAAUGGCUGUUGUGACGUGGACGCGCCCAGCGCAAAGCUGUACAGCUGUGAGAGCUGUUUGGGAAACGGAUGUUGCAGCAUCUACGAGGCCUGCGUCUCCUGCUGCUUACAGCCCAACAAGCAACGGCUCCUGGAACGUUUUCUGAACCGAGCAGGAGUUUCUUUCCGGAACCUCUUCAUGGCCGUGGAAGAUCACUUUGAGCUGUGCCUGGCCAAGUGCAGGACCUCCUCGCAGAGCGUGCAACAUGAAAACACCUACCGGGACCCCAUUGCAAAAUACUGCUACGGGGAAUUCCCCCCAGAGCUCCUGCCGGUGUGAAAGCAGCAAGAAGCUGGAGGCGACGCGAGAGAAAUGAAGUGGAGAUGCUGUCGGGGAAGGAGCGAAAUCAGGGUGGUGUGCGUGGAUGGCUUAGGGAACUUCUACCGCAGAUCUACUCCAAAGAUGCCCAGAAAGGCAAGCCCUUGCAGAAAUAAAAUGCCUUUCCUUCUCCCUGCAAAGCGGGGUAAAAGUGAUGGCGAUCCUCCGGGCCCUGGAGCCAGUGUUUGGGUGCGUAGGCCUGAUCGGCCAGGUCCUGUAUUCAAAACAUGCACGUAGACAUUAAGUGAGUCUCUCCAUAGCUUGUGGACCAUUUGGACUGACAACCACCGCAGUGAAGAUGGAUUGCUGCCCCCCCGGAGAAUCAUGCCUGGCUCCCUGGCUCUGUACCUUUUGCUGCAAACUCUUUCUGGAAUGCCAGAGCCCGGUUGAGUGAGCACCGCCAUCAAUCAAAAUGCCGCCACUUAGCUGGCAGAAGUGAUUUCAUUAAUGCGCUGUGCAAACACCCUCACCCCCCACCUGACUGCUAAUCAUCCUCUAUCAGCGGGAGGAAAAGAUGCAGGCUGGUCUGCUUACAGCUACCCAGGAGCAACCAGUGCUGACCGUGGUUAAUUGCCAUGAUGAGGCAGACAGGCCUGUCGCUCACUUUUAAUCUGUGCGGUCCCCGCAAACCGAGAGGCGCAGGUGCUUUCACUGCAUCGCGGCAAAGAUGAUCUCGUGUUGGGCUGAGAUCAUUUGUCUUGCGGAACUGACAGCAUCUCACCACCUACGUAGGCCCGUAAGCCAGGGGGACAAGGUGGAGUGGAUCCAUUCGGGUACUUCAUCGUCGGACGGAGCUGCAUGUAGCUAUGCCCGGCCGCUGGGCGGAUCUGAAUAAAGCAGCUAAAUGUG